CUGUUAUAGCGCCACCUAUGGUCUGAUCUCCAUGAAACUUUGCAUGCUUGUUAAGAGUCACCUGUUACAUGAUUUCAUUGAGUUUCAUAAAGUUUUGAGUUUUCCUUUAGGUUUUAUAGGCUUUGGGGUAUGUUUGGCCACACCCCUUUUUCUAAAUUACCCCGUUACAGCUAACCAAAGGACAAAAUUCAACAUUUUUUUAAUAAUUAUUGAUCUAGAGAGUCCACAGAAUAUUACUGCAGUGGUUUGGUUCCGAUCGGGCAAAAAACCUAGGACUAGUUCGCAAAAGUAGGUUUUUAACAUAUUUGUGAAUAACAAUUGAACGAUUUGAUUGACAGCAAUGGUUCUUGAGGCAAAGUUGUGCAUUAUGAGGAGAUCUAUCAAAUGAUAUGCAUAUUGUGUUGAUAUGUGAAACACCACGUGAUUACAGAGCCAUAAAACUCGUUAGCGCCAACUAGUGGCCGAUUUCUUUCAAAAUUCUUACAGACCUUAAGGUUCAUGAGUCGAACGUACCCAGUGAGUUUCGUUCCGAUCAACAUCCGUUAACCCUUUCAAAUAGGUGCUUAAAUUUGUUUGGCCAAUGGCGGCCAUGUUUUUUGAGAUAUGCAAAUGUCCUCAUAGGUACUUGUGCCCCUUCAGACCAAGACACUGCAUACCGAUUUUCAAGUCGAUCGAGCCAACGGUUGCCUAGUUAUAGCAAUUUAUGUGUUUUUUCUAUCUUAUUGCGCCCCCAAGUGGCAGAGAUGCGCAAUUUUUUUGAUUUGACCAAAGAUUGAGCUCAUACAUAUGUAUACCGAGUUUGGUGAAGAUAUCUCAUUCCGUUCAAGAGUUAUAGUUAAAAUAGCAUUUGGCUAACGUUAGCAUAGACGCUUUUAGGUGUACUGUUUCGCGUAAAAAUUGAAAUUUCAACUUUUUUUUGAUAAUUAUUGAUAUUGAGUGUCCAGGGAAUAUUUAUGAAGUGGUUUGGU